ensembl:lncRNA
UUUCAGAAUUGACAGGAGUUGAAGUGGAAUUAAUCUAAAUACAAGAUUGUCUGCAUUGUUUAGUACUGAUCUGCAGAAAACCUUACCAUUCUUUCAUACUUUUUGGAACAAGAAAAUAAUCAGUUGAAAAGUUAUAUUGCAAGUAGCAACAAAACUGAUUAGCUGCAAAUAGGCACAGAAAACAGGUCAAGUGGAAGAAGACAAAACGAUGGAUGAAAGAGAAUAUUUUAAAUAGGUGGAAACUCUGAACAUCCCUAAACCUAAAAAGCCAAUCAAUCAAGCUAAUCUGUUCUGCCCAAUAGAUCCCUUAUGAACGAUCUAAUUCACAACAUCCUCCCAACAUGUUGUGCAAUCGAUGUUCAUUUGCAUGAGUGCAACUAGCGAGGGGGCAGUGUUGGAAAAAAACAACAGCACUAAAGCUGUGCUCCAGAUGCGCUACACACACACACACACACUACAGCUGUACUAACACUGCUCUAAGCAACAGGGCAGCUUGUCAUUAACGCCAAGCACCAUUCCGGAUGCGCUCCGCCAGCCCCGUUCCUCCAGCCCUGUUCCUGCCCCUCCACCCCCAGCAGAGUCUGCAUCCCAUCAUCCCUCUUCAAACUUCCACAAAUUCAUCAGCUCAGUUAUGAGGCCUGUAGCGCAAGUGCCACAUUCCAGGGACAUGAUGCGAAACAGAGAAUUUGUUCGGAUCUGGAAUCUAUUGAGUGUGUGUAUGUGUCUGUAGCCCCUAAUGUCCCAGCGUAUCCCCAGAGACGGGGCUGUGCGUGUGUGCCUGUGGCCUUGUAUAUCCUCGAAAAAGCCUGCUAAGUAUUGAAAAUACGUAACAUUUGGAAAAACAAAGGAAUUUCAGGUAUUUGCUGUGAAUGGGUACUAAGUUAAGGGGCUUUGAGUCUCUCUGGAGGUGCUCUGUUGGGAGAAACUAAAAGACGGAUCAACAACGCUUUUACUCCACAGUGUAUAAGGAAACAUUAUUCAUGAACUUUUAUUUAGUCAGGGAGCUCAACUGAGGCCAGGGUCUCACUUACAAUGGUGCAUUGAACCUCCAAGGCAUGUGAGUGUAGUAAAAAGUGUACGAGCAUCUGGCAAGACGCAAAUAGUAUAUGUCAUAUAUAUCAUUGUUUCUGUACAUCAAAUGUCAGCAAAGAAUAUUUGUUCAGGUCAACGAGACAAACAGAUGUACUCCCUGAGCUCAUAAUAAUAUAUGGUUAUUAAAAGAUAUAAAAAUGUAUCUUGUUGUAAAAUACCAUGCUAAAAUAGCAUACCAUCCAUCCUUAAGAACACCAAUGUUUAAAGAAAGAUAUAAAGCCAAAUACUGUCGCC